CAGCCUGCGAACCGGGGAGCUGCUCUGGGUAAAUUCCGAUGGGCAGUAAUUUUGUGGCCAUAAUACUCUAGCUCCAUUACCCUAUUUACAUCAUUCUUGUUGUCAGUCGGGUGCUAAAAUCAUGUGGGACGCAUAAAAAUAGACAACACUAAUAAACGAGCACAAUUCAUUCUUAGUGACUUCCCCUUUGACACGUUGAACCAGUGCAGUGUUUGUUUGUGAGCUUAUGUUUGUCGGAAGAACUAAAGGAUUCCUUGUCACUUGCAUUUUUCCUAGUGCCAGCUAAUUUCCUGCCAUUUGGGAAUGGAGAAAUGGUGACCCCCCGUUUGGAUAAUGGAAGCUCUGAAGCCAUUAUGUUGCAGCAGCCUUUGAAAUAUUUUGGACGCACGCACAAUCAGACUUUUGUGAACAACAAUGGCCUUCUGACAUUUACGGAGCAACUGUCCGACCCCAUCCCCCUUCUGAACUGUGGAAGAGACUUCAUUGCUCCUCUCUGGACUCGCCUUGACAACAGACGUGGAGGAACUAUCUCCUAUAGAGAGGAUACAAGCAGUGCUGUACUGGCACAAGUCACUGCGGCUGUCAAGCAAUACUUCCCUAACAUAACCUUUAGUGCUUCAUCAGCUUUUGUUGCUACCUGGGACAAUGUGCCAUACUCUAAUGGUGGAGGGGUGGUUACUUUCCAAGUGGUUUUAGUCUCCAACGUUCAUCGCACUUUCAUCCUCAUCAACUACGGAGACAUCGCAGAAACAGAACAAAUUUGGCUGGUGAGUGGAGACGGGUCCUUUGUUGUUUUUGCAAAUGAUAGAAAUGACAAGGAAUUGCCCUUGCCUCACUUCAUUCCUUACAUUCUAGCAAAAGACAGUUAUAUCUGGAACAGGUUGAGGACCUAAACACGAUUCAUUUACUGUACUUCUACAGGCUGGUUACAACACGGCGGACUCUGUCAAUUCUUUCACGAUUCCAGUAACCAGUGCCCCAGAACUCUCAUCCAGCAGCAAUAUCAAUGUGAAUGGUCGCAGCUCCUUCCAUGUUGAUGGCUCACCGAACUGUAAGCCAAUGCAACCAGAAGCUCAAGCUUAACCUGUACCAUUUACGGGCUUGUUUUUCGUCAGCAGAGCUAAAUAAUUUGUUCUCACCUGUCCUUUUCUCAGUGCCGACUAAUUUCCUAGCCUCUGGGGAUGGAGAAAUAGUGAACCCCACUGCCGAUGAUGGAAGCUCUGAUGUCAUUUUCCUGCAGCAGCCUUUCAAAUACUUUGGACGCACGUACAAUCGGAUCUUUGUAAGCGCCACGUUCCACCGCCACGCAAACAUUAAGUUACGAGUUAUUUACAUACCUCUCCUUUCUUCACGUCUCUCUUUAACAUCCUUUUGAAAAAUGUGGUCCUAAAAUUUAGGUGAACAACAAUGGCCAUCUAACGUUUACCGAGCCGCUGUCUGCCUACAACCCCUCGCUGGAUUCCGGAAGAGACAUCAUUGCUCCUCUUUGGACUCGCCUUGACAAUAGACGUGGAGGAACUAUCUCCUAUAGAGAGGAUACAAGCAGUGCUGUACUGGCACAAGCCACUGCAGCUGUUAAGCGAUACUUCCCUAGCAUACCUUUUGCUGCUACUUCAGCUUUUGUCGCUACCUGGGACAGUGUGCCAUACUAUAAUGGUGGAGGGGUAAGGCCUACAAUAAUCUUUGAUUUUCAAUGAAUGGUCCCUCUUGGUUUGUUUAAAAGGUUUUGAACGCUGUCUACUGGUGUUUUUUGAAGGUGGCCACUUUCCAAGUGGUUUUAGCCUACAAUGUUCAUCGCUCUUUCAUCCUGAUCUACUAUGGAGAUGUUGCAGAAACAGGACUACCUUGGCAGGUAAGUGAAGUAGCCUACUGCUUCCCGUGCACUGUACAAAUGACAAAAACAAAUACUAAUAGACAAUUUAGAAGGAAAUGCUCAUGAAUGCAGAAAAGGGUUUUUUUUCCUCUUUUUUUUUUUUUUUUUUUUAAAUAGAAUGACAACAUAAAGUAUUUUGUUUACUCCUACAGGCUGGCUUUUACACUGUGGACUCUAUCAGUUCUUUCACAAUUCCAGCAUCCAGCGCCCCAGAACUCUCGUCAAGCAGCAAUAUCAAUGUGACUGCUUGCUGGUCUUUCCAUGUUGAUGGUUCACCGAACUUGCCAGCUAAUUUCCUGCCAUUUGGGAAUGGAGAAAUGGUGACCCCCCGUUUGGAUAAUGGAAGCUCUGAAGCCAUUAUGUUGCAGCAGCCUUUGAAAUAUUUUGGACGCACGCACAAUCAGACUUUUGUGAACAACAAUGGCCUUCUGACAUUUACGGAGCAACUGUCCGACCCCAUCCCCCUUCUGAACUGUGGAAGAGACUUCAUUGCUCCUCUCUGGACUCGCCUUGACAACAGACGUGGAGGAACUAUCUCCUAUAGAGAGGAUACAAGCAGUGCUGUACUGGCACAAGUCACUGCGGCUGUCAAGCAAUACUUCCCUAACAUAACCUUUAGUGCUUCAUCAGCUUUUGUUGCUACCUGGGACAAUGUGCCAUACUCUAAUGGUGGAGGGGUGGUUACUUUCCAAGUGGUUUUAGUCUCCAACGUUCAUCGCACUUUCAUCCUCAUCAACUACGGAGACAUCGCAGAAACAGAACAAAUUUGGCUGGUGAGUGGAGACGGGUCCUUUGUUGUUUUUGCAAAUGAUAGAAAUGACAAGGAAUUGCCCUUGCCUCACUUCAUUCCUUACAUUCUAGCAAAAGACAGUUAUAUCUGGAACAGGUUGAGGACCUAAACACGAUUCAUUUACUGUACUUCUACAGGCUGGUUACAACACGGCGGACUCUGUCAAUUCUUUCACGAUUCCAGUAACCAGUGCCCCAGAACUCUCAUCCAGCAGCAAUAUCAAUGUGAAUGGUCGCAGCUCCUUCCAUGUUGAUGGCUCACCGAACUGUAAGCCAAUGCAACCAGAAGCUCAAGCUUAACCUGUACCAUUUACGGGCUUGUUUUUCGUCAGCAGAGCUAAAUAAUUUGUUCUCACCUGUCCUUUUCUCAGUGCCGACUAAUUUCCUAGCCUCUGGGGAUGGAGAAAUAGUGAACCCCACUGCCGAUGAUGGAAGCUCUGAUGUCAUUUUCCUGCAGCAGCCUUUCAAAUACUUUGGACGCACGUACAAUCGGAUCUUUGUAAGCGCCACGUUCCACCGCCACGCAAACAUUAAGUUACGAGUUAUUUACAUACCUCUCCUUUCUUCACGUCUCUCUUUAACAUCCUUUUGAAAAAUGUGGUCCUAAAAUUUAGGUGAACAACAAUGGCCAUCUAACGUUUACCGAGCCGCUGUCUGCCUACAACCCCUCGCUGGAUUCCGGAAGAGACAUCAUUGCUCCUCUUUGGACUCGCCUUGACAAUAGACGUGGAGGAACUAUCUCCUAUAGAGAGGAUACAAGCAGUGCUGUACUGGCACAAGCCACUGCAGCUGUUAAGCGAUACUUCCCUAGCAUACCUUUUGCUGCUACUUCAGCUUUUGUCGCUACCUGGGACAGUGUGCCAUACUAUAAUGGUGGAGGGGUAAGGCCUACAAUAAUCUUUGAUUUUCAAUGAAUGGUCCCUCUUGGUUUGUUUAAAAGGUUUUGAACGCUGUCUACUGGUGUUUUUUGAAGGUGGCCACUUUCCAAGUGGUUUUAGCCUACAAUGUUCAUCGCUCUUUCAUCCUGAUCUACUAUGGAGAUGUUGCAGAAACAGGACUACCUUGGCAGGUAAGUGAAGUAGCCUACUGCUUCCCGUGCACUGUACAAAUGACAAAAACAAAUACUAAUAGACAAUUUAGAAGGAAAUGCUCAUGAAUGCAGAAAAGGGUUUUUUUUUCCUCUUUUUUUUUUUUUUUUUUUUUUAAAUAGAAUGACAACAUAAAGUAUUUUGUUUACUCCUACAGGCUGGCUUUUACACUGUGGACUCUAUCAGUUCUUUCACAAUUCCAGCAUCCAGCGCCCCAGAACUCUCGUCAAGCAGCAAUAUCAAUGUGACUGCUUGCUGGUCUUUCCAUGUUGAUGGUUCACCGAACUUGCCAGCUAAUUUCCUGCCAUUUGGGAAUGGAGAAAUGGUGACCCCCCGUUUGGAUAAUGGAAGCUCUGAAGCCAUUAUGUUGCAGCAGCCUUUGAAAUAUUUUGGACGCACGCACAAUCAGACUUUUGUGAACAACAAUGGCCUUCUGACAUUUACGGAGCAACUGUCCGACCCCAUCCCCCUUCUGAACUGUGGAAGAGACUUCAUUGCUCCUCUCUGGACUCGCCUUGACAACAGACGUGGAGGAACUAUCUCCUAUAGAGAGGAUACAAGCAGUGCUGUACUGGCACAAGUCACUGCGGCUGUCAAGCAAUACUUCCCUAACAUAACCUUUAGUGCUUCAUCAGCUUUUGUUGCUACCUGGGACAAUGUGCCAUACUCUAAUGGUGGAGGGGUGGUUACUUUCCAAGUGGUUUUAGUCUCCAACGUUCAUCGCACUUUCAUCCUCAUCAACUACGGAGACAUCGCAGAAACAGAACAAAUUUGGCUGGUGAGUGGAGACGGGUCCUUUGUUGUUUUUGCAAAUGAUAGAAAUGACAAGGAAUUGCCCUUGCCUCACUUCAUUCCUUACAUUCUAGCAAAAGACAGUUAUAUCUGGAACAGGUUGAGGACCUAAACACGAUUCAUUUACUGUACUUCUACAGGCUGGUUACAACACGGCGGACUCUGUCAAUUCUUUCACGAUUCCAGUAACCAGUGCCCCAGAACUCUCAUCCAGCAGCAAUAUCAAUGUGAAUGGUCGCAGCUCCUUCCAUGUUGAUGGCUCACCGAACUGUAAGCCAAUGCAACCAGAAGCUCAAGCUUAACCUGUACCAUUUACGGGCUUGUUUUUCGUCAGCAGAGCUAAAUAAUUUGUUCUCACCUGUCCUUUUCUCAGUGCCGACUAAUUUCCUAGCCUCUGGGGAUGGAGAAAUAGUGAACCCCACUGCCGAUGAUGGAAGCUCUGAUGUCAUUUUCCUGCAGCAGCCUUUCAAAUACUUUGGACGCACGUACAAUCGGAUCUUUGUAAGCGCCACGUUCCACCGCCACGCAAACAUUAAGUUACGAGUUAUUUACAUACCUCUCCUUUCUUCACGUCUCUCUUUAACAUCCUUUUGAAAAAUGUGGUCCUAAAAUUUAGGUGAACAACAAUGGCCAUCUAACGUUUACCGAGCCGCUGUCUGCCUACAACCCCUCGCUGGAUUCCGGAAGAGACAUCAUUGCUCCUCUUUGGACUCGCCUUGACAAUAGACGUGGAGGAACUAUCUCCUAUAGAGAGGAUACAAGCAGUGCUGUACUGGCACAAGCCACUGCAGCUGUUAAGCGAUACUUCCCUAGCAUACCUUUUGCUGCUACUUCAGCUUUUGUCGCUACCUGGGACAGUGUGCCAUACUAUAAUGGUGGAGGGGUAAGGCCUACAAUAAUCUUUGAUUUUCAAUGAAUGGUCCCUCUUGGUUUGUUUAAAAGGUUUUGAACGCUGUCUACUGGUGUUUUUUGAAGGUGGCCACUUUCCAAGUGGUUUUAGCCUACAAUGUUCAUCGCUCUUUCAUCCUGAUCUACUAUGGAGAUGUUGCAGAAACAGGACUACCUUGGCAGGUAAGUGAAGUAGCCUACUGCUUCCCGUGCACUGUACAAAUGACAAAAACAAAUACUAAUAGACAAUUUAGAAGGAAUUGCUCAUGAAUGCAGAAAAGGGUUUUUUUUUCCUCUUUUUUCUUUUUUUUUUUAAAUAGAAUGACAACAUAAAGUAUUUUGUUUACUCCUACAGGCUGGCUUUUACACUGUGGACUCUAUCAGUUCUUUCACAAUUCCAGCAUCCAGCGCCCCAGAACUCUCGUCAAGCAGCAAUAUCAAUGUGACUGCUUGCUGGUCUUUCCAUGUUGAUGGUUCACCGAACUUGCCAGCUAAUUUCCUGCCAUUUGGGAAUGGAGAAAUGGUGACCCCCCGUUUGGAUAAUGGAAGCUCUGAAGCCAUUAUGUUGCAGCAGCCUUUGAAAUAUUUUGGACGCACGCACAAUCAGACUUUUGUGAACAACAAUGGCCUUCUGACAUUUACGGAGCAACUGUCCGACCCCAUCCCCCUUCUGAACUGUGGAAGAGACUUCAUUGCUCCUCUCUGGACUCGCCUUGACAACAGACGUGGAGGAACUAUCUCCUAUAGAGAGGAUACAAGCAGUGCUGUACUGGCACAAGUCACUGCGGCUGUCAAGCAAUACUUCCCUAACAUAACCUUUAGUGCUUCAUCAGCUUUUGUUGCUACCUGGGACAAUGUGCCAUACUCUAAUGGUGGAGGGGUGGUUACUUUCCAAGUGGUUUUAGUCUCCAACGUUCAUCGCACUUUCAUCCUCAUCAACUACGGAGACAUCGCAGAAACAGAACAAAUUUGGCUGGUGAGUGGAGACGGGUCCUUUGUUGUUUUUGCAAAUGAUAGAAAUGACAAGGAAUUGCCCUUGCCUCACUUCAUUCCUUACAUUCUAGCAAAAGACAGUUAUAUCUGGAACAGGUUGAGGACCUAAACACGAUUCAUUUACUGUACUUCUACAGGCUGGUUACAACACGGCGGACUCUGUCAAUUCUUUCACGAUUCCAGUAACCAGUGCCCCAGAACUCUCAUCCAGCAGCAAUAUCAAUGUGAAUGGUCGCAGCUCCUUCCAUGUUGAUGGCUCACCGAACUGUAAGCCAAUGCAACCAGAAGCUCAAGCUUAACCUGUACCAUUUACGGGCUUGUUUUUCGUCAGCAGAGCUAAAUAAUUUGUUCUCACCUGUCCUUUUCUCAGUGCCGACUAAUUUCCUAGCCUCUGGGGAUGGAGAAAUAGUGAACCCCACUGCCGAUGAUGGAAGCUCUGAUGUCAUUUUCCUGCAGCAGCCUUUCAAAUACUUUGGACGCACGUACAAUCGGAUCUUUGUAAGCGCCACGUUCCACCGCCACGCAAACAUUAAGUUACGAGUUAUUUACAUACCUCUCCUUUCUUCACGUCUCUCUUUAACAUCCUUUUGAAAAAUGUGGUCCUAAAAUUUAGGUGAACAACAAUGGCCAUCUAACGUUUACCGAGCCGCUGUCUGCCUACAACCCCUCGCUGGAUUCCGGAAGAGACAUCAUUGCUCCUCUUUGGACUCGCCUUGACAAUAGACGUGGAGGAACUAUCUCCUAUAGAGAGGAUACAAGCAGUGCUGUACUGGCACAAGCCACUGCAGCUGUUAAGCGAUACUUCCCUAGCAUACCUUUUGCUGCUACUUCAGCUUUUGUCGCUACCUGGGACAGUGUGCCAUACUAUAAUGGUGGAGGGGUAAGGCCUACAAUAAUCUUUGAUUUUCAAUGAAUGGUCCCUCUUGGUUUGUUUAAAAGGUUUUGAACGCUGUCUACUGGUGUUUUUUGAAGGUGGCCACUUUCCAAGUGGUUUUAGCCUACAAUGUUCAUCGCUCUUUCAUCCUGAUCUACUAUGGAGAUGUUGCAGAAACAGGACUACCUUGGCAGGUAAGUGAAGUAGCCUACUGCUUCCCGUGCACUGUACAAAUGACAAAAACAAAUACUAAUAGACAAUUUAGAAGGAAUUGCUCAUGAAUGCAGAAAAGGGUUUUUUUUUCCUCUUUUUUCUUUUUUUUUUUAAAUAGAAUGACAACAUAAAGUAUUUUGUUUACUCCUACAGGCUGGCUUUUACACUGUGGACUCUAUCAGUUCUUUCACAAUUCCAGCAUCCAGCGCCCCAGAACUCUCGUCAAGCAGCAAUAUCAAUGUGACUGCUUGCUGGUCUUUCCAUGUUGAUGGUUCACCGAACUUGCCAGCUAAUUUCCUGCCAUUUGGGAAUGGAGAAAUGGUGACCCCCCGUUUGGAUAAUGGAAGCUCUGAAGCCAUUAUGUUGCAGCAGCCUUUGAAAUAUUUUGGACGCACGCACAAUCAGACUUUUGUGAACAACAAUGGCCUUCUGACAUUUACGGAGCAACUGUCCGACCCCAUCCCCCUUCUGAACUGUGGAAGAGACUUCAUUGCUCCUCUCUGGACUCGCCUUGACAACAGACGUGGAGGAACUAUCUCCUAUAGAGAGGAUACAAGCAGUGCUGUACUGGCACAAGUCACUGCGGCUGUCAAGCAAUACUUCCCUAACAUAACCUUUAGUGCUUCAUCAGCUUUUGUUGCUACCUGGGACAAUGUGCCAUACUCUAAUGGUGGAGGGGUGGUUACUUUCCAAGUGGUUUUAGUCUCCAACGUUCAUCGCACUUUCAUCCUCAUCAACUACGGAGACAUCGCAGAAACAGAACAAAUUUGGCUGGUGAGUGGAGACGGGUCCUUUGUUGUUUUUGCAAAUGAUAGAAAUGACAAGGAAUUGCCCUUGCCUCACUUCAUUCCUUACAUUCUAGCAAAAGACAGUUAUAUCUGGAACAGGUUGAGGACCUAAACACGAUUCAUUUACUGUACUUCUACAGGCUGGUUACAACACGGCGGACUCUGUCAAUUCUUUCACGAUUCCAGUAACCAGUGCCCCAGAACUCUCAUCCAGCAGCAAUAUCAAUGUGAAUGGUCGCAGCUCCUUCCAUGUUGAUGGCUCACCGAACUGUAAGCCAAUGCAACCAGAAGCUCAAGCUUAACCUGUACCAUUUACGGGCUUGUUUUUCGUCAGCAGAGCUAAAUAAUUUGUUCUCACCUGUCCUUUUCUCAGUGCCGACUAAUUUCCUAGCCUCUGGGGAUGGAGAAAUAGUGAACCCCACUGCCGAUGAUGGAAGCUCUGAUGUCAUUUUCCUGCAGCAGCCUUUCAAAUACUUUGGACGCACGUACAAUCGGAUCUUUGUAAGCGCCACGUUCCACCGCCACGCAAACAUUAAGUUACGAGUUAUUUACAUACCUCUCCUUUCUUCACGUCUCUCUUUAACAUCCUUUUGAAAAAUGUGGUCCUAAAAUUUAGGUGAACAACAAUGGCCAUCUAACGUUUACCGAGCCGCUGUCUGCCUACAACCCCUCGCUGGAUUCCGGAAGAGACAUCAUUGCUCCUCUUUGGACUCGCCUUGACAAUAGACGUGGAGGAACUAUCUCCUAUAGAGAGGAUACAAGCAGUGCUGUACUGGCACAAGCCACUGCAGCUGUUAAGCGAUACUUCCCUAGCAUACCUUUUGCUGCUACUUCAGCUUUUGUCGCUACCUGGGACAGUGUGCCAUACUAUAAUGGUGGAGGGGUAAGGCCUACAAUAAUCUUUGAUUUUCAAUGAAUGGUCCCUCUUGGUUUGUUUAAAAGGUUUUGAACGCUGUCUACUGGUGUUUUUUGAAGGUGGCCACUUUCCAAGUGGUUUUAGCCUACAAUGUUCAUCGCUCUUUCAUCCUGAUCUACUAUGGAGAUGUUGCAGAAACAGGACUACCUUGGCAGGUAAGUGAAGUAGCCUACUGCUUCCCGUGCACUGUACAAAUGACAAAAACAAAUACUAAUAGACAAUUUAGAAGGAAUUGCUCAUGAAUGCAGAAAAGGGUUUUUUUUUCCUCUUUUUUCUUUUUUUUUUUAAAUAGAAUGACAACAUAAAGUAUUUUGUUUACUCCUACAGGCUGGCUUUUACACUGUGGACUCUAUCAGUUCUUUCACAAUUCCAGCAUCCAGCGCCCCAGAACUCUCGUCAAGCAGCAAUAUCAAUGUGACUGCUUGCUGGUCUUUCCAUGUUGAUGGUUCACCGAACUGUAAGCCAACGAGCUGUAUUAUUGGUUACGACAAGGUUCUCGGGGGUGAAUUCACUAAAAUUGUGUGUCACUGUAGUACGCCGUGUUUGAGCACAAAACCUGAAACGUACUUACAAUUGAGCUUUACCUGGCACCGUGUGGUUGAGUGCACCUUCGGCCUCUUAAAAAGCCAAUUCGGGUUCCGGAUCGCAGUGGGCGAGUCGUACUACACAAUCCUAGAAAAAUCUGCCAGAUUGUAGUAGUCUGCUGUACUCUCCACAACCUUGCACUCAGAAGCAGCCUGUGAGCUGGUGAACUGUUCUGGGCAAAUUCCAAUGGGCAGUAAUUUUGUGGCCAUAUUA